ensembl:miRNA
GGCACUGCCGAGGCCAGGGGCUGGGCUGAGCUGGGCUGAGCUGGGCUGAGCUGGGCGGCUCGCCUGCGUCU